GUGGGGAAUAUUGGGCAAUGGGGGAAACCCUGACCCAGCAACGCCGCGUGAAGGAAGAAGGCUUUCGGGUUGUAAACUUCUUUUAUGAGGGACGAAGGAUUGACGGUACCUCAUGAAUAAGCCACGGCUAACUACGUGCCAGCAGCCGCGGUAAUACGUAGGUGGCAAGCGUUGUCCGGAUUUACUGGGUGUAAAGGGCGCGUAGGCGGGAGAGCAAGUCAGAUGUGAAAUCCCCAGGCUUAACCUGGGAACUGCAUUUGAAACUGUUGGUCUUGAGUAUCGGAGAGGCAAGCGGAAUUCCUAGUGUAGCGGUGAAAUGCGUAGAUAUUAGGAGGAACACCAGUGGCGAAGGCGGCUUGCUGGACGACAACUGACGCUGAGGCGCGAAAGCGUGGGGAGCAAACAGGAUUAGAAACCCCGGUAGUCC
rnacentral:rRNA from 1 species